rnacentral:lncRNA from 1 species
CAAAAAUUACAAACCAAUUACUAAGCUGUCACAGCUAAAAUAAAGUUUUUCGUAUCUCACUGAAGAUGUCUGUUUUGCUGAGACAAAUGUAAAAAGAGAAAAAUGCUUUUUCCUUCCUUUGAUCUACACAGCAACACUUCUACAUCAACCCAUCCCUGUUUAGGUACAUCCAUCUUGGUCAGAGAAAGAUUGUCCUCAACAGUAAAGGCAAGUGGAAAAGCCUACCUAAAAUCAAAGCAGUAGUUAAGAUCCUUAUCACAUUCUCUAAUUAACAGCAUUGCUUUUUAUAUCACAGAGCAGCUAACAUACCUAUGGUUUAUUUUCAAUACACAUAUACUUUAUGCCUGGCAAUUCUGACCCUUCUGCAGAAAUCAGAUAUUGAUGUAACUCUUGCACUCACAACAGCUCAGGGAACUACAGAGGCAAAGAGGUCAUUGUGGGUGCUGGUUAGUUUCUAUGAAGCUGGUUUUUACUAGUCUAGCUUACCAAUUCUGCUCAUACUAGAUUAGUCAAACACAAGGUGCAAGGAAUGUAGCAGGACUAUCUCAUUUGCCAUUCCGUCACCAUUAAAGUGGCUAACCUGCCGUGAAAAAAAUUUAGUGUGGAAGAGAAACUGAAAGGUUCUCACUGGGAGAACCAGAGUGCACUAUCCUAAAGCACACUCUUUGGGAGUAACUGCAGUAACACCUUCCCCUCCCUGCUCCCGGCUCUCCGAAGUGCACAUGCAGCAAUGCCACAAAGGGCACAGCUCGCAGCAAAGCCCCUGUGGUCAGGAACCUCUUUCCCAAACCAAGCUUUUAACAGAUUUUGUCUGCAGAUGCAGGGAACUGCCUUCACACCAAAGCGGGAAAGAGAAAGGGGCUCGACCCAGGAGGCCAGCCGGGCCCAGGGGCGGGAGCCGGGAGCGGGAAGGCCACACCGAGCCCGCGGCCUGGCUCAGCACUCAGCGAGGCGCUUUGGCGCCCACGGCAGCUCCCCCCCUUCCCCCAUCAAACCUUUCCACUCAGCUCGGCCGCCGGGAAACGUGGUUGUCGCCGCAGCUCCCGGCCCGAACGUGCCCUCUGCAGAUACCCGCGGGGUCAGGCCCUGCCACAGCCCGGCGCUCCAGCGCUAAUCGCGUCCUGCACCAGAUAUAUUUCCACACAAGCACCCUGAACAAAUCAGAAACAUUCACUGGAAAUGUGCAUCAGAAGAUAUACAGACAUCUGCAGACAUGCAACUGCCACAAGACAGCCAGUAAAAUCCCUGCUCUUUAAAAUCUCUUACAUCUCUCACCUUUGCUUUUGGCUGCUGCAGUGAUUUCAGAUACCUCAUUCCACAAAGGAGCUUAUUGGAUUGAUUUUUACUCUCUUCAGUGGGAGCAAUACCUUGUGUUCUGUUCAACCUAUUACAUUGUCUUUCCAUUGUGGAAUAAUUGGAAGAAGGUAAUAGUGAUGCUGCCACCUAAGUAUCUUCAAAUGUGUUUGUUCAUAUGUGCCAAGUGCCUUGCUAAAUUAUAACCUUACAUACACAUGAACAACUUUCCUGGGUUUACAGGGGAAAAAAGGAACAUCAAUAUGUCAUCCAAAUCUUUUCCUGGCAUUGGUUUUGCAAUUUAAGGCCAACCAUUUCAGACUGGCACUUAGAGAAAGUUGAAACAUCAUCUUUUUAAUUAAAUUUGCCAUGGAAAAAAAGAACAGUGGUCUUACUGUCUCCUUUUUUAUAUGAUGAGAAUUUUAUGGUUUCAUAGUGGGCUGAAGAGCUGAAAAGGCUAAUGAAUCAUUACAAAGAACAGUAUGAAGUCUUUCUUUAACUUUGACUUAAAGGACAGUUAUUAUCCAUAAAUGGCUUUGCAGCUGCUCAUUGGGUUAGGUGGAACUGGGAAAGCUGGCAAAACAACAUGAACAAAUUCAAUAAAGGGUGGAAAAGAAGAAAAAGAAGAGGUCCA